rnacentral:rRNA from 1 species
CACGUAGGGUGCGAGCGUUGUCCGGAAUUAUUGGGCGUAAAGAGCUCGUAGGCGGUCUGUCGCGUCGAUCGUGAAAACUUGGGGCUUAACCCUGAGCUUGCGGUCGAUACGGGCAUCACUUGAGUUCGGCAGGGGAGACUGGAAUUCCUGGUGUAGCGGUGAAAUGCGCAGAUAUCAGGAGGAACACCAAUGGCGAAGGCGCUCGCUGGGACGUGACUGACGCUGAGACGCGAAAGCGUGGGGAGCAAACAGG